UCGUGAAUGUAUUGACUCCACUAAGCAGUACAGACACCAUUGUGAGGGCACCACUAGCGAAGCCAAAAGCCAAGAGCAGCCGAUAGAAGAGAGAAACGAGAAACCUCAGGAAAGUUCGAGAAAUGAAUGGAGAAAUGUAUUAGGCAGUCCCACCAAGGAAAGGCAGGUGGUGUGCAGUGUCACAGGCAAAACAUCUGCUACGAAUGUCUAAAAGUGACUUUUACUAUGUGAUUCUAGAGUAAAGAAACACCGCAAGGGACAAAAUCCUCAAGCCCCCCACACAGACACUUAUGAGUUGAAUGAAAGGGAUUUGGAAGAUUUUGGGUGCUACGCAUCAGAAUCCCAAGACACGUGACACCACCCUUGUCGCGGGGCUGCUAACCCAUGAUACAAGGCAAGUCUCGACACAAAACGAAAUGAACCUCGUCAAACAGUCAUCAGGCAUGGCUUUUCUUGCUUAGCUCUCGGUUACUGGAACUCACAAAGGCAAAGUUUUUUUGGAUAAAUCCGAAUAACUUUAAAUUUUACUGGCAUAUAUUUUUGGAUUUUGUCGGAUAAAUUUGAAAACCCGGAACACUACACAUAAUGUAAAAUAAAAUAUGGUACAGCCUCGUUUAUUCAAGCUCGCCAAUGUGAAGGUUGCCCCAGUAUCCUUAACAGAUUCCAGAUAGC